rnacentral:tRNA from 1 species
GAGGGUAUAGCUCAAAUGGUAGAGUGUGUACUUCGCAUGCAAGAGGUCCUGGGUUCAAUCCCCAGUACUUCCA